AUGGAGAUGAAGCUGACGAUUAAGAGGGUUCCGACGGUGCUGUCCAACUACCAGGAAGAAGGAGGCGGGGGCUGCGGCAGGAACUGCCUCGGGGAUUGCUGCUUGCCUGCUUCCAAGCUCCCCCUCUAUGCUUUCAAGGCCGACCCAAAGAAGCCUGCGCAGGAUGAUGAGCUCCCUACCGAGUUCUUCCUAAAUUCUCUCCUCCUUGCACAGUGGGAGGACAGGGUGGCCCGAGGCCUAUUCAGAUAUGACGUAACAGCCUGCGAGACCAAGGUGAUUCCUGGCGAGCUUGGGUUUGUUGCACAGCUUAACGAAGGCCGCCACCUCAAGAAGCGCCCGACCGAGUUCCGUGUUGACCGUGUGCUCCAGCCAUUCGAUUCUGCCAAGUUCAACUUCACCAAGGUUGGCCAGGAGGAGGUUCUCUUUCGCUUUGAGAAAGGUGGUGGCGACAGCAGCUAUUUCCUUGAAAAUGCCCCAAGCACUGAGGGUGACCAUGCUCCCAGCGUUGUUGCAAUCAAUGUGAGCCCUAUUGAGUACGGUCAUGUGCUUCUCAUUCCACGUGUCCUUGACCGCCUGCCUCAGCAAAUUGAUCCUGAAAGCUUCCUGCUUGCACUACACAUGGCAGCUGAGGCUGCAAGCCCAUACUUUAGGCUUGGUUACAACAGCUUGGGUGCCUUUGCCACCAUCAAUCAUCUCCACUUCCAGGCAUACUACCUGUCAGUACCUUUUCCUGUUGAGAAGGCGCCUACCAAGAAGAUCCCCCUUGCCAAGUGUGCGCUGAAUAGUGGAGUGAAGGUGUCAAAACUGACAAAUUUCCCCGUGAGAGGUCUGGUGUUUGAGAGAGGGAACACACUGAAGGAUUUGGCUGAUGUGGUUACCAACGCUUGCAUUUGGCUCCAGGAGAACAAUGUUCCUUUCAACGUCCUCAUCUCUGAUUCCGGUAGAAGGAUCUUCGUUUUUCCUCAGUGCUAUGCCGAGAAGCAGGCUCUCGGUGAAGUGAGCCAGGAUCUGCUAGACACGCAGGUGAACCCUGCAGUAUGGGAGAUCAGUGGCCACAUUGUUCUGAAACGGAGGACGGACUUCGAGGAGGCUUCAGAAGCAUCAGCCUGGAGGCUUCUCGCUGAGGUGUCUCUGUCGGAGGAGCGAUUUGAGGAGGUGAAGGCAUGUAUCUUUGAGGCCACCGGCCUCACUGAAUCUGACGAGGAAGAGGAAUCCAGUGAGUCUCCUUAUGCAUCGUCAUCCUCCGUCCCACGAGCCUCUUCACACAUGUCGGAAGGUUGCCUUGUCCUUCAGUGA
rnacentral:rRNA from 1 species